rnacentral:rRNA from 1 species
GAUGAACGCUGGCGGCGUGCCUAAUACAUGCAAGUCGAGCGAACGGACGAGAAGCUUGCUUCUCUGAUGUUAGCGGCGGACGGGUGAGUAACACGUGGAUAACCUACCUAUAAGACUGGGAUAACUUCGGGAAACCGUAGCUAAUACCGGAUAAUAUUUUGAACCGCAUGGUUCAAAAGUGAAAGACGGUCUUGCUGUCACUUAUAGAUGGAUCCGCGCUGCAUUAGAUAGUUGGUAAGGUAACGGCUUACCAAGGCAACGAUGCAUAGCCGACCUGAGAGGGUGAUCGGCCACACGGGAACUGAGACACGGUCCAGACUCCUACGGGAGGCAGCAGUAGGGAAUCUUCCGCAAUGGGCGAAAGCCUGACGGAGCAACGCCGCGUGAGUGAUGAAGGUCUUCGGAUCGUAAAACUCUGUUAUUAGGGAAGAACAUAUGUGUAAGUAACUGUGCACAUCUUGACGGUACCUAAUCAGAAAGCCACGGCUAACUACGUG